AAAACGGCACCAUUCAAAUUGGCAGACAAAGCGACACCAAUGCGGGUAUGGAUGGAUAUAAUUAGACAUAAUCCUUUGUACCUUUAUCUAACCUCCAACAACAAGUAGGCUAUCUUACCAAAUCUUAAAACGUGUGGCAUCCCGCGAGAGUAUCCAAGAAACAACAGCAGAAGCGGGAGCAGCCUGAGGUUGAACCUGAAAACGAGACUAGUUACCAGCGGGGAGGUAAUCUUCAUGUUGUUUGUAAAAUGCACAGUGGUGAUCCCCCGUACGCUUUGAUUCCCCCGGAAUUCUUUGAUACGGUCGUUCGGCAGGGUGACUGUAGCCAAGCGCAAGAUCACGGCAUGGUCACUCGCGCUUCUAAAUCCAUUAGCAGUCCCGGCAUGAUUUCCUUCUUCACUGCGCCAAGAAACAAUCAUCCAGUUCAAGGGAAGACGAGGCAUCCAUAAAGAGAGGUAACAAAUCCGGCGGGGGGGCCCAUGGCUCGGAUGACUGAGGUGAGACACCGGGGGAUAUCCACACUUGAGGGUCGGGGAAGAGAGCGCCAGGCAGAGUGAAAUCGCGAUAGCAGCCUAUGAGGCACUUUGGGUUGCCUACGCUCCCAUUAUACUGCACUGCUGCACAGCGUCUGACGUCGAGCCAAGCCAGUGAGGCCGGUAGAGGAGACACAGCGAUGACAGAGAAAAGGAAACCAUGGAAACCAAAGCCUGAUGCAUUUUGUAUGACACAUUACAGGUUAUGCUCCGGAAGAUGGAGACAUUGGAGGAGAACCAGCGAGAGGCUCUCCUAUUCAGGCGACGACAGGGCAGACACACUGAAGAGGUGCCAGUGAUGGACCUACAGGUGGCCCAAACACAGGCUGAACUCCAAGACCUUGAGGAGACAGGACAUGUAGCGGGGACUGGCAGAAGAUUUUAAUUCACUGUUUGGCACUUUGUUUGAAAUAA